UUCUCUCACAUAUUUACCACAAUCAGCCACAAUUACUGCCCAUCUAUCACUGUUAAUCUCUCCACCAAGGUUCCUCUGCCAAAUCAUCUUUAACUGAUCAGAGUCAUUGCUGACAAAAAGAAUUGA